UCCAAUUCGUGAAAAAUUAAAUCCUCUUUG
rnacentral:piRNA from 1 species